rnacentral:tRNA from 1 species
AUUGGUUAGAGUACCGCCCUGUCAGACGGAAGUUGCGGGUUCGAGUCCCGUCAGUCCCG